rnacentral:lncRNA from 1 species
CCUAGCCGCUCUUCUCAAAUCGUCAAACACACUCACUCACGUCAAACCCUCACAAGCCAGCAAGCAAGCAGUCAUCGUCGUCUUCAUCCUAUGUCCGUUACGGUCCUUUCCAUCAGCCACUAGUCAUCACCGCAUCUCACUUUCUCUGUACGCAAAUCCUAGACCUGCGAGCCAAAUUAAGUGGUGGAUUUCAAUCAGAGGCUGUCGUUGACUGUUUGAAAGAGCCAUCAUCUCUUGCGCUGCCAAAGCACGGAGAAGGUUGGGGAUCAAAUUCAUUAAAACCGAUUGGGUAUAACUUAUAAAAAAAAAAGCAAAAACAGUGAAAGCCGAAUCCCCAAACCUAAUUCCCAGAUACCCAAUUUUCUAAAGCCACAAACCCGAGGAA